AGAAAGGCUUCCUUGCAUUCCCGACAGAGGCCCAUCAUCACCUGUCUGAACUCUUGAAGUACUCAGAGCUCAGCUUUAAACUGCACUAUGUCAUGUGGAGAUGAUCAGGUCAUGAGGUGGAGACUUUGAAUUUCAGGAGUGGGACCUCUGAAGUUUUUUCCAUCCACAGGUUGAGAAAUCAGUCAUGAGCUGAACAGGUGGAGCCCAGGAAAGGUUAUGUCCACUCUAUAAAGGGACCGAGGAUCUUGUUUCAAAUACUGGCUGGAUCUUGGGGAAACCACUUUAAAAUGGCAGAUUACCCAUG
rnacentral:lncRNA from 1 species